rnacentral:rRNA from 1 species
AGGACGAGCGCCGGCGGCGUGCUUAACACAUGCAAGUCGAGCGGAAAGGCCUUUCGGGGUACUCGAGCGGCGAACGGGUGAGUAACACGUGAGUAAGUCUGCCCCAUCGCUUCAGGAUAGCCAUCGGAAACGGUGAUUAAUACUGGAUAUGACAUUCCUUCGCAUGUUGGGGUGUGGAAAGUUUUUUCGGCGGUGGAUGUGCUCGCGGCCUAUCAGCUUGUUGGUGGGUAAUGGCCUACAAGCUUUGACGGGUAGCCGGCCUGAGAGGGUGACCGGCCACACGUGGGACUGACGACACGGCCCAGACUCCGUACGGGAGCAGCAGUGGGAUAGUGGACAGUGGGCGAAGCCUGAUCCGAGCAACGCCGCGUGAGGA